CUGUUGGUGGUCGCUGCUCGAUUCCAUCCCUCUAAUUUGAAAUGCGUAGCUCGUGCGACGUCGGCAUCGCUUGUGCGGCUAAAAUAUAAGAGCUGGUCAUUGCGCCAACACUAUCUACUGUAGAAAACAAUAAGCACAGCGCAUGGAGAUACUAAUUGGAUAAAAGAUCUACAUAGGUGAGAUGGGCAUGCGAUCUCGCCUUGUAUUACAUCAGGGCCGCAGGAAGCCCUUUGAAAUCAAAGUCCAAGUCCCGAUUCCGACAUAUCUAACUUGCUUUCAACUGUUUCGAAAGCAAACGUGCUAUCUAAUGUGCAUAAUUCGUUGCCAAAACAUUCUUUGCUCUUCUCUGGAUGAUGCUGAACUUAUAAUGACAACGGCUGAAGUGCGUCGCAACAGAAAUAAUGGAAUGUGUGACUUCAGAAAUUUUAACUACUGUUCCAGAUCUUUGAUAAAUUUAAGUGGUAUUUAUCAAAGACAGUACUGCAGCGAUCGUAAAACUUAAUCGCUUGGCUUGGUCAAGGAUCGCAUGGGAGCUGUCAACUAUGCACGGCAUCUUGUCAACGGACGUGUGCUGCGACACAUUAACAAUGUAUAUCACUUGGAGGACAAACCAUUGCUUUAUAAUUUCUGUGGUCGCUUCUGGAGAACCCUGAAAAUAGAGCGCUUUCCAUGUGCUCGGAGCAUUUGGCGAGACUAAUUAAGCGGAAGCAAAAAGCAAAAGAAUCAAGAAUCCAUCGACUCCUGGAUGUACUACUAAGUCUAAUUAUAUUAUUUUUUAUAAACCAUAAACCGCCACAGGGCACGAAUAAAUCAGAAAUAUUC